rnacentral:misc_RNA from 1 species
AUGCGAUAAGUAAUGUGAAUUGCAGAAUUCAGUGAAUCAUCGAAUCUUUGAACGCACAUUGCGCCCUCUGGUAUUCCGGAGGGCAUGCCUGUUCGAGCGUCAUUUCAACCCUCAAGCCCAGCUUGGUGAUGGGGCACUGCCUGUGAAAGGGCAGGCCCUGAAAUCCAGUGGCGAGCUCGCCAGGACUCCGAGCGCAGUAGUUAAACCCUCGCUAUGGAAAGUUCUGGUGCGGCCCUGCCGUAAAACACCCAACUUCUGAAAAAUUGACCUCGGAUCAGGUAGGAAUACCCGCUGAACUUAA